UCACACGGUUCGACUGUUGAAACAGAACAAAGUUCACAUUGUCAACAGCAGUGCUGUUUCUCCCAAUCAAAGUGAGUCGGGGACAGAGAAACACAGGAAGCAAACACACUAAAAAGAAGAAACAAAGAACUGGACUUCUUUUAGCUCAUUUUCUCACUGUGGAAAUAAAAACACGAGAUUUAUUUUUCCUGCAUAAUCUCAGCGGCGUCAGGAGCAACUGACUGAUUUCUUUAAAAGACAGCUUAACGUCAGCAAGGACAAAACUCAUUAAUCUCUGGAGAACAUCUGUAGGUCAUUUCCACCUAAAGGCCUUCAAAGCUGCAUUACUGGGGGCCUAAAAACCGACUAACAUGGCUGUGCUGACUUCCCCCUGGACUGAUCUGGCUCUGUUCCUGCAGGGAAGCAUCACGAUGUCAAACAGUGAUGCAGGCAGCUUUUUUCCAGUGUGGCUGUUUGGACUGAUGCUCUUCCUGUCUGUCUCUCUGCUGCUGCUAGCACUGAUCAUCCUCCUCAGUUGGAAACUCAGACAGGCUGACGCUGAUCUGUUGAAGCUAGCGCAGGACAGAAGCUCCAUCAGCGCCACCCACAGGCAUGUCCACAGAGGACGGCACAGAAGAAAUGCUGGAUCUCAUUUCUGCGCCUGACAGUCAUGAACGGACACAUUUUAACACAAAUGAAGGAACACCCUCUGUAUAUGACACUAUGUGCUCUCUCCUGAGGGGCCACAUCAUGCUGGACAUUGAAGACACCGACGUCGUCUGCCUCACCCGACUGACAUGAAUUAAAAA